GUUUACUUCCGGUGCAGGUUACUUUCUUAUAUGCAAUGAAAUGUAGUGUGAAAUUUUCACUGUAGCACUGGAAAGGAUUAAACUUUAUUCAUGCAAAGUAUUUCUUUGGUUGAAAUAAAGUGUUCACAUGUUCUGAAGAGCAUUCUGUUGAAAAAUCUUAUAUGUGAAUUGGUCUGCAGAUGACACUUCAGCAUUAAAAUAUCAAGUUUUGAUGAAAAAGGAAGGAAGGAGGAAAAAUGGACCAAAACAGACCAAAACAGACCUUCAAAUGAACUCUAAAAGUGUUCACAUGUUCUGAAGAGCAUUCUGUUGAAAAAUCUUAUAUGUGAAUUGGUCUGCAGAUGACACUUCAGCAUUAAAAUAUCAAGUUUUGAUGAAAAAGGAAGGAAGGAGGAAAAAUGGACCAAAACAGACCAAAACAGACCUUCAAAUGAACUCUAAAAG